ensembl:lncRNA
GCCUGCCGAAUCCUCUCCGCCAUCUCAGUGUCCUCCAAUUCCAUGACUGGAGUCCACCACAGGGCAGUGCGACUUGGACUGCUGGCCCUUUCUCCCGGCUCCUGGCUCAGUAACCUGGGAGGGAGAGAAUCUGAUCCCUCCAGGUCCCUGGGUGAGGCCAGCGGAUGUUAGGAUGUCGCACCUGGCAGCCCAGCCCCUGGCUCUUCAGCCACCAAUCAAGGCACUGAGAAGAAGUUCGCGGCAGGUGGCAUCAAGGUCGCCAAUCAGCUGACCAUAAAAUAGGGAGCUGGGCCUGACGCUCGGGCCCAGCACAGCCACGUGAACCCUGAGAAGCGGGAGAGGCGGGGGAAGAAGAAAUUCGCUCUGCCCUCAGUAGCUCUGCAGGCCGAGGGCAGCACUUGGCCUCUGGGCUCGGAGAAUGGUCCGCACCAUCUCCCAGACACGGGGCUCUUGGUCGGACGGGAGCUGAAUUCUGCAAACCUGGAUGAGCAGGGACUCAGAGGGGUCCACUGAGUUUCCAGAAAGACAGCAGCCCGGCUGGGAACCUGACUUCGGCCUUGUGACCUCUGACCUAUAGAGAGUAUAAGGGGCAGGCACUACCAGUGUUUUGUGUUUGCAAACCAAAACUCGGAGGAGGCUCAUCCAGAAGCAGGAAGUUGGCAAAAUAUAGAGGUAACUGUGAUGACAGUUCAUCAAAACUUUGGAGCACCAAGAGAGUUUGAACGUUCCUACGGAGCACUGUGAAGCUGCAGACGUGCCAGUUACCACAUUCAUCACCACACAUCCUGAAUUGUCAAUGCAGCCCAGAACUGCAGUUAGGGAUGUGUCACUUAAAAAUGAAAACACAUUUAAAAAUGCUGACAGCUCUAGAAUCUCAUUAUCAGCCCAUUCUCCUCUGAAAACUGCUUACUUCCUAGCUAUUCCCAGACUGCAGCUUCUUUCUGCACUCUGCCAGCUCCUAAAUCUUCCAACUUCCUCCCAGUUCUUCCUCUAACCUAGAUGGAUGCAAGUCAAACCAUGCACAUCCAAAAGGAAAUUUAAUACCUUACCCUAUGUUUUUACCAAAAUGUCACUGAUUCCUGAUAGUUAACAGAAUCACUUGUCCAAAGCAGAAAUUCGGUGGCUCCCCAAGUUCACUUUUGCUUGUCCUUACAUCCAAUUAGACAUCACAUUUUACAAAUUCUACCUCAAAUAUUUCAUGCCUAGUUUCCUUCUCACCAUCCUCCCUGCCAAUUCUUUAUUUUUUUGUACCUGGGAUUGAACUCGUGACACCUUGUUGCACUCCAAGGCCCGUGGCAGAGCGGAACCACCGAGCUAAUCCCCGGGUGCCCCCUGCCAAUUAUUUACAGUGGAAUCUAAAAAUCUCCUGCCCAGCUAUUACAGUAGCUUUCUUCUCUCCCAUCUUACACUGAUCCAAGGUACCUCUGCUUUAUUUGGCUCCUUGAGUGAGCGUUUUGAAAUAUGGAUUAAAUGAGUCUACCCUCCAAUGUUAACCUCUAGGGCAGUAAAGAGAUUUGGGAUCCAGGGAUAUCUGAGAUGUUAUGUUUGUGCUUUCAGGAUUAACCCUUUCUUUUACUCUCAGAAGUGUGCACAGGACUCUAUCCUAGCUACUUUCACGUUUACGGUGCCAGUUAACCCCGAUUCUCCUCUUGAAUGCCUCAAGAGAGACCUGAGAGUGAGCCUAUUGGAGGAAGUGUGUCAUGGGGCAUGACCUUGGAGACUGUCUCUUUCCUUUGUGGUGCUGUUUCCCCACUCUGCUUCCUGGCCACCAUGAACUGAGCGAGCAGCUUUGCUUCACCAUAAUGUUCCUGCCUUGGAACCAGCUAACCAUGGACUGAACCUUCUGAAACCAUGAGCCAAAUUAUACCUCUGCUCUCUUAAGGUGCAGGUGUCAGGCAUUUUGUCCCAGUGACAAAACCUGACUAAUGACACACAGCUAACUUCUAUUUUUCUGUCUCCUUUAAUAAAGCAAUUCUUAACCAUGAGAAGCUGCAUUGAUGAUCUUCAGAGAAUAAAUGGGUAACAGCUUUUGCUUGUGGCUAUUACUGUUAUCACUCAAACAAUGGAGACUUCAUAGUCUUGCCAUUUUCAUAAACAAUUUCUGAGAAGUCACCUGUCUACCUGAAAUACAUAUAACACAUGUGACCAGAAAAACUUUAUAGUGUAUAGAGGCCAAACCCAACAAAAUAUGGCAAAAUGUGACAUACUGGGACA